AUGGUUUCUCUUGUGAGUUUGUGCAGAUGCCGCAGCAGAGAAACACCCAUGAAGACAUUCUUGACAUUAGGAAGACUUUUCUGUAUACCUGCGCAACUAGCAAUGUGUUUGAUGUUGACUUCUGGGGUUUGUUUGGCAUCGAACCCUGUGAGUGGUUGGAUCUUGGUGAGCAUGACUACAGGAUCUUUGGAAGCCAGUUCUCGGAGCACGGCUGGUGUUAUGAAGGGGCGGUUGGGAGCUCUGAAAGGUUCUACGGCUGCUUGUGCAGAGAGCCCCUCUGAACCCAAGAAUCCCAUUGUGGAAUUGAUAGACAGCGACGAUGAUGCGUUUGACAAGAUUGCUGGCAUGGGAAGAGUCACCAGGAGCGCUGCUGCCAAGGGUUUAUCCCCUCUUGCUGGAAUAGUGGCCCGUAGAGCUGGUGCUGCUAGGAAGGAUCCUGCUAUGGAUUCAGGUACAAGCACGAAGCAUGCACCCAGAGCUCCUAUAAAGUUUUGCUCCCCUAUGCAGCAGCUUCACCCUCAUAAAUUCCCUCACAUGGACAAGGUUCGCAAGUUGUAUAAUCUGUUGCUUAGUGAUGAAUGGCGUGAGAAGUAUGCCGAGAAUGUGUUCUCAAUGAUACCUCAGCCUCAUGAUAGAGUAACUAGCUUCACUUGGAAACGCAUCUAG
rnacentral:rRNA from 1 species